rnacentral:rRNA from 1 species
AUUGAACGCUGGCGGCAGGCUUAAUACAUGCAAGUCGAGCGGGGUGAUGGUGCUUGCACUAUCACUUAGCGGCGGACGGGUGAGUAAUGCUUAGGAAUCUGCCUAUUAGUGGGGGACAACAUCUCGAAAGGGAUGCUAAUACCGCAUACGUCCUACGGGAGAAAGCAGGGGAUCACUUGUGACCUUGCGCUAAUAGAUGAGCCUAAGUCGGAUUAGCUAGUUGGUGGGGUAAAGGCCUACCAAGGCGACGAUCUGUAGCGGGUCUGAGAGGAUGAUCCGCCACACUGGGACUGCGACACGGCCCAGACUCCUACGGGAGGCAGCAGUGUGGCAUAUUGGACAAUGGGGGGAACCCUGAUCCCGCCAUGCCGCGUGUGUGAAGAAGGCCUUAUGGUUGUACCUCCCUUUCCCCGAGGAGGCGGCUCUUUUCUUUCCUACCCAAGAUGAGUGGACGUUACUCGCAGAAUAAGCACCGGCUAACUCUGUGCCAGCCGCCGCAGUAA